AUUGAACGCUGGCGGCAGGCUUAACACAUGCAAGUCGAGCGAGCGGCGGACGGGUGAGUAAUGUCUGGGAAACUGCCUGAUGGAGGGGGAUAACUACUGGAAACGGUAGCUAAUACCGCAUACCAGCAGAUGUGCCCAGAGGGGAUUAGCUAGUAGGUGGGGUAAUGGGUCACCUAGGCGACGAUCCCUAGCUGGUCUGAGAGGAUGACCAGCCACACUGGAACUUAGACACGGUCCAUACUCCUACGUGAGGCAGCAGUGGGGAAUAUUGCACAAUGGGCUCAAGCCUGAUGCAGCCAUGCCGCGUGUGUGAAGAAGGCCUUCGGGUUUUACAGCACUUUCAGCGAGGAGGCGUUACUCGCAGAAGAAGCACCGGCUAACUCCGUGCCAGCAGCCGCGGUAAUUC
rnacentral:rRNA from 1 species